GUUGGCAGAUUUGAGCUUUCUUCUUGGACACCUAAUACCCACAGUCCUCCAGUAAAUCCCAAGCAAGGUACCUGCCGUCAGCAGAUUUGAGCUUUCUUCUUGGACACCUAAUACCCACAGUCCUCCAGGCUCCGGUAGAUUGCAAAUGACCUGCUUUCUUUCUGUUCCCGGGCUGCGUUCGGACCCCUGUCGGAUAGUAACUCCCAAGUAAGGUACCUGCCGUCGGCAGAUUGGAGCUUUCUUCUUGGAGACCUAAUACCCACAGUCCUCCAGGCUCCGGUAGAUUGCAAAUGACCUGCUUUCUUUCUGUUCCCGGGCUGCGUUCGGACCCCUGUCGGAGAGUAAAUCCGAAAAAAACAAACAAAGACAUGGAUUUACUGUGCAUAUUAGCAGAUCCAUACUGGAAAAUGCAUGGAGGUUUCAUAUACACCACUUACAGAUGCAGAAAGGCAGUGAACUCCUCCGGAGUAGCUGUCAGGUCACCAUUGAGGUCUGCAGCUUUGAAUCUUCUCUCAUCACGUGGCAGCAUCUUUUUAAAGGUGUGAUGAUCUGAAGAAUCAUGAAACUCUGCGGGGUUUCCUAGGUUUUCAGCUCCUCAGUAGUGACAAAGCCAUACCCAUCAUUGUCGAUUCGAUCAACAAUCUUCCCUAGCCUCUCCUUGCUCUCGUCCGGGGUGAGCUCGUCGAAGUUCUUGGAGUCCUCCUUGCCC
rnacentral:lncRNA from 10 species